AGUGAACGCUGGCGGUAGGCCUAACACAUGCAAGUCGAACGGCAGCACAGUAAGAGCUUGCUCUUACGGGUGGCGAGUGGCGGACGGGUGAGGAAUACAUCGGAAUCUACUUUUUCGUGGGGGAUAACGUAGGGAAACUUACGCUAAUACCGCAUACGACCUACGGGUGAAAGCAGGGGAUCUUCGGACCUUGCGCGAUUGAAUGAGCCGAUGUCGGAUUAGCUAGUUGGCGGGGUAAAGGCCCACCAAGGCGACGAUCCGUAGCUGGUCUGAGAGGAUGAUCGGCCAAACUGGAGUUGGGAACGGGCCCAGCUUCUAAGGGGAGGAGGAGGGGGGGAUAUUUGGCCAAUGGGGGAAAGCCUGACCAAGCAAUACGGCGGGGGGGAAGAAGGCCUUCGGGUUGUAAAGCCUUUUUGUUGGGAAAGAAAAGCAGCAGGUUAAUCCCCCGCUGUUCUGCCGGUACCAAAGAAUAAGCACCGGCUAACUUCGUG
rnacentral:rRNA from 1 species